GGGCCCAUGUUGAAUUGAUGGAGCGGGCCGGAGACGCUUGCGGCGUGCCUAAGAAAUGCAAGUCGAGCGGUUCAGAAAGCAGAACCCAGAGUACAGAGUGCAGAGUUAAUGGAGUGGAGUAGUCUUCGCUGUUUUUUCUGCGUUUUGUAUUUUGCGUUCUGCCUUCUGGAUAGCGGCGAACGGUCGCGUAACACGUAGGCAACCUGCCCCGAAGACUGGGAUAGCCCAGCGAAAGUUGGAUUAAUACCGGAUGUGAAUGACAGAAGAUAUCUUUUGUUAUUUAAACGAGCAAUCGGCUUUGGGAUGGGCCUGCGGUCUAUCAGCUAGUUGGUGAGGUAACAGCUCACCAAGGCGACGACGGAUAGCUGGUCUGAGAGGAUGGUCAGCCGGACUGGGACUGAGAUACGGCCCAGACUCCUACGGGGGACAGCAAUUAGGAAUCUUGCGCAAUGGGGGCAACCCUGACGCAGCGACGCCGCGUGUGUGAUGAAGUCUUUCGGGAUGUAAGGCACUUUUGGCAGGGAAGAAGAAUGUGACGGUACCUGCAGAAUAAGCCCCGGCUAACUACGUGCCAGCAGCCGCGGUAAUACGUAGGGGGCAAGCGUUGUCCGAAGUUACUGGGCGUAAAGCGCGCGUAGGCGGUUCUUUAAGUUGAUUGUGAAAUCUUCACGGCUUAACCGGAAAACUGCGGUCAAGACUGGGGAACUGGAGAUUGGGAGAGGGAAGUGGAAUUCCUGGUGUAGCGGUGAAAUGCGUAGAUAUCAGGAGGAACACCCAUGGCGAAGGCAGCUUCCUGGCCCAAUUCUGACGCUGAGGUGCGAAAGCGUGGGUAGCGAACGGGAUUAGAUACCCCGGUAGUCCACGCCGUAAACGAUGGAUACUAGGUGUUAGAGGUAUCGACCCCUCUAGUGCCGGAGCUAACGCAUUAAGUAUCCCGCCUGGGGAGUACGGCCGCAAGGUUGAAACUCAAAGGAAUUGACGGGGGCCCGCACAAGCGGUGGAGCAUGUGGUUUAAUACGUCACUAACCGUAGAACCUUACCAGGGUUUGACAUCUGCCGACAGUCUAUGAAAGUAGAUUUUCUCCCACAAGGAGACGGCAAGACAGGUGUUGCAUGGCUGUCGUCAGCUCGUGUCGUGAGAUGUUGGGUUAAGUCCCGCAACGAGCGCAACCCUCAUCCGAUGUUGCCAGCGUAAAGUCGGGAACUCUUCGGAAACUGCCCGUGUAAGCGGGAGGAAGGUGGGGAUGACGUCAAGUCAGCAUGGCCCUUACAUCCUGGGCUACACACAUGCUACAAUGGCAGUUCACAGAGGGAUGCAAUACCGCGAGGUGGAGCAAAUCCCAGAAAUACUGUCUCAGUUCGGAUUGUAGUCUGCAACUCGACUACAUGAAGUCGGAAUCGCUAGUAACCGCAGGUCAGCUAAACUGCGGUGAAUACGUUCCCGGGCCUUGUACACACCGCCCGUCAAGUCACCUGAAUUGUCUGCACCCGAAGUCGAUGGCCGAACCCGCAAGGGACGGAGUCGCCGAAGGUGUGGGGAGUGAGGGGACUAAGUCUCUGUCG
rnacentral:rRNA from 1 species